rnacentral:lncRNA from 1 species
CUCUGGGCCCUGGGGCCACACAGCUGGUGGGGGGCGGGGAUAAUCUCCUAGCUGCGUGUCUCAAAACCAGUGUCCAGCUGCGCUCAGGAUGCACGGGACCUUGUGAGAGUGCAAGUCCCUAGGGCAACAGCCCUCCAGGUGAUUCCCCAUGGGGCUUUGAGUGAAACAACUGCUUGGAAUUCCAACUGCUUGGGCUAGGUUACUGUAAUCCUGUGUCAGUCUCUGUGGGGAGAGCAGAGGCCGACCGACCAGACAGAUCACCACUGGGAACACUAAAACCCAAUCUCACAUAUCACAUCCUCCAUCAUGGGAGAAAAGCACAGAAAUGUCACAGUGUCAGAAGGUUCAGUCUGUGGAUCAGAGUGAUCCAAAUACUGACAUUGCUUUGGCUUGAAGACUGAGUAUCUGGGGCAGGUGGAUGCUACCACCUGGUGGCAAAUCAACUAGGGAGAGAGGCUGGCUACAAGCCCAACUGUGAGGAACAGACCAGGGUCUCCUUCCUCUGCUGGUGGCCACUCGAUGGGGACCAGGAGAACCUAAUCAUCACCAGGAAGAAAAGGAAUACAUGAAACAGGCCCAGGAGACAGACCUUCCCAUAUGGGUUUCACUAUCUGGCCACUGGAUAACUUCCAGCACACCUUUGUCCCAUUGAAGAGAGAUUCCUUCCACGAAGACAUCCCCACUCAACCCUGGGCAGGAAGCGGCCUGGAUGACUCAGCCUUGAUUCAGAGCUCAACAUCCAGUUGCCUCAUAUGGUCGGAAGAUACAACAAGAAACUGA